GGCUGCACCUGUGGCAUAUGAUUACAAAGUUGCUAAAAGUGACCCUCAGAGAGGCCCAGAGCGGUGGUCCACAGCGAAAGACGACAAAGCUCAGCAGCGCGCCUUGUGGGGAAACAGUCUCCUCAGAGAUUCUCAAACUACCGCUGGAGGAGUUCCCAUUGUGGCGCAGUGGUUAACGAAUCCGACUAGGAACCACGAGGUUGCAGGUUGAUCUUUGGCCUUGCUCAGUGGGUUAAGGAUCCGGCGUGGCUGUGAGCUGUGGUGUAGGUGGCAGACGCGGCUCGGAUCCCGCAUUGCUGUGGCUGUGGUGUAGGCUGGCAGCUACAGCUCCGAUGAGCCCCCUAGCCUGGGAACCUCCACAUGCCACAGGAGCCGCCCUAGAAAAGGCAAAAAACUACCGCUGGAGGAAACAGGAUGUCCUGCAUCCCAGUGGAGUGACUGGAGCACAAACUCUGUGAUUGGGUAUUUGAAGGAAUUGUGACUUCCAAGAAGAUGGUAGCUUGGGGUGUUUGGAAUGUGAAGAGAUUAGCUGCCACCCCCGCCCCCUUCCGCUGUCCCCCAACCCCCAUCCUCCCAAGGACGUUUGGGCUGUGUUGAGUUAUGUUAUACUAUGAGACAAAAAAAUAAUCUAUAAGACCAGUUUUGCCUCUUCCAUCACAAAAGCUCAGAAGAGACCUACGCUCUAUGACCCAACCCUAACUAGCAGUUUCCUUUGUCUGGUUUGACGUCAGUUAAUGACUGGACUUUGAACCUGAAAGAACAUUAAAAGGAAAGAUAGCUGAAGGGAAAUCAUUUUCUCUCUGGAUUACCUGGCACCAACAUCCAAAAUGAAAGUCUUCAUUCACUUCACUCUGCUUGCCCUCCUUUUCCUAAAAUCAGCAAGUAUGGCUCAGAACAAGACAGGAGGCACCACAAAGCUGACAUCCACAGAAAACACCAGCUCCCCGAACGCGGCGGAAAGCACCAGCGCUCCUUCCGCUGCAAGAAACAGUGCUCCGGGCACGGCAGCAAGCACCAGCGCUCCGUCUGCGGCAGCAAGCAGCAGCGCUCUGUCUGCGGAGGCAAGCACCAGCGCUCCGGCCGCGGCGGCAAGCACCAGUGCUCCGACCGCAGGGGCAAUCACCAGCGCUCUGUCCACCGCGGCAAGCACCAGAAUUCCAACCGCGGCAGCAAGCACCAGCGCUCCAUCCGAGGCGGAAAGCACCAGCGCUCCUACCACGGCAGCAAGCACCAGGGCUCCGACCGCAGGGGCAAGCACCAGCGCUCCGGCCGCAGGGGGAAGCACCAGCGCUCCUUCCGCUGCAAGCACGAGCGCUCCGGCCGCAGGGGCAAGCACCAGCGGUCCUGACGCCGCGGCAAGCACCAGCGCUACAGCCGCAGGGGCAAGCACCAGCGGUCCUGACGCCGCGGCAAGCACCAGCGCUACAGCCGCAGGGGCAAGCACCAGCGGUCCUGACGCCGCGG
rnacentral:lncRNA from 1 species